UUGCACCUACGGGGGGCAGCAGUGGGGAAUAUUGCACAAUGGGGGAAACCCUGAUGCAGCGACGCCGCGUGAGUGAAGAAGUAUUUCGGUAUGUAAAGCUCUAUCAGCAGGGAAGAAAAUGACGGUACCUGACUAAGAAGCCCCGGCUAACUACGUGCCAGCAGCCGCGGUAAUAAGUAGGGGGCAAGCGUUAUCCGGAUUUACUGGGUGUAAAGGGAGCGUAGACGGCAGUGCAAGUCUGAAGUGAAAGGCAAGGGCUCAACCCUUGGACUGCUUUGGAAACUGUGCUGCUCGAG
rnacentral:rRNA from 1 species